rnacentral:rRNA from 1 species
CUCAGGAUGAACGCUGGCGGCGUGCCUAAUACAUGCAAGUCGAGCGAACAGACGAGGAGCUUGCUCCUCUGACGUUAGCGGCGGACGGGUGAGUAACACGUGGAUAACCUACCUAUAAGACUGGGAUAACUUCGGGAAACCGGAGCUAAUACCGGAUAACAUGUUGAACCGCAUAACCCAACAGUGAAAGACGGUCUUGCUGUCACUUAUAGAUGGACCCGCGCCGCAUUAGCUAGUUGGUAAGGUAACGGCUUACCAAGGCAACGAUGCGUAGCCGACCUGAGAGGGUGAUCGGCCACACUGGAACUGAGACACGGUCCAGACUCCUACGGGAGGCAGCAGUAGGGAAUCUUCCGCAAUGGGCGAAAGCCUGACGGAGCAACGCCGCGUGAGUGAAGAAGGUCUUCGGAUCGUAAAACUCUGUUAUUAGGGAAGAACAAAUGUGUAAGUAACUAUGCACGUCUUGACGGUACCUAAUCAGAAAGCCACGGCUAACUACGUGCCAGCAGCCGCGGUAAUACGUAGGUGGUAAGCGUUAUCCGGAAUUAUUGGGCGUAAAGCGCGCGUAGGCGGUUUUUUAAGUCUGAUGUGAAAGCCCACGGCUCAACCGUGGAGGGUCAUUGGAAACUGGAAAACUUGAGUGCAGAAGAGGAAAGUGGAAUUCCAUGUGUAGCGGUGAAAUGCGCAGAGAUAUGGAGGAACACCAGUGGCGAAGGCGACUUUCUGGUCUGUAACUGACGCUGAUGUGCGAAA